rnacentral:rRNA from 1 species
AGAGUUUGAUCAUGGCUCAGAAUCAACGCUGGCGGCGCGCCUAACACAUGCAAGUCGAACGAGAAAGCAGGAGCAAUCCUGUGAGUAAAGUGGCGUACGGGUGAGUAACACGUGGAUCAUCUACCUCUUUGUGGGGGAUAACCCUGGGAAACCGGAGCUAAUACCGCAUAAGUCCGAGAGGAGAAAGCAGCAAUGCGCAGAGAGAGGAGUCCGCGGCCGAUUAGUUAGUUGGCAGGGUAAAAGCCUACCAAGACAAAGAUCGGUAGCCGGCCUGAGAGGGCACACGGCCACACUGGCACUGAAACACGGGCCAGACUCCUACGGGAGGCAGCAGUGGGGAAUCUUGCACAAUGGGGGCAACCCUGAUGCAGCGACGCCGCGUGAGCGAUGAAGCCCUUCGGGGUGUAAAGCUCUUUCGGCAGGGAAGAUUAUGACGGUACCUGCAGAAGCAGCUGCGGCUAACUACGUGCCAGCAGCCGCGGUAAUACGUAGGCAGCAAGCGUUGUUCGGAGUUACUGGGCGUAAAGGGUGUGUAGGCGGUUCCCUAAGUUUGGUGUGAAAUCUCCCGGCUCAACUGGGAGGGUGCGCCGAAAACUGGGGAGCUAGAGUACUGGAUGGGAGAGUGGAAUUCCUGGUGUAGCGGUGAAAUGCGUAGAUAUCAGGAGGAACACCUGUGGUGUAGACGGCUCUCUGGACAGUAACUGACGCUGAGACACGAAAGCGUGGGUAGCAAACAGGAUUAGAUACCCUAGUAGUCC